CCUACGGGAGGCAGCAGUAGGGAAUCUUCCACAAUGGACGAAAGUCUGAUGGAGCAACGCCGCGUGAGUGAAGAAGGUUUCCGGAUCGUAAAACUCUGUUGUAAGGGAAGAACACGUACGAGAGUAACUGCUCGUACCUUGACGGUACCUUAUUAGAAAGCCACGGCUAACUACGUGCCAGCAGCCGCGGUAAU
rnacentral:rRNA from 1 species